rnacentral:rRNA from 1 species
GCCUACGGGGGGCAGCAGUAGGGAAUUUUCGUCAAUGGGCGCAAGCCUGAACGAGCAAUGCCGCGUGAACGAGGAAGGUCUUCGGAUCGUAAAGUUCUGUUGAAGGGGAAAAAGAGCGGAGAGAGGAAAUGGUCUCCGAUUGAUAUUACCCUUCGAGGAAGUCACGGCUAACUACGUGCCAGCAGCCGCGGUAAUACGUAGGUGGCGAGCGUUAUCCGGAAUGAUUGGGCGUAAAGGGUGCGUAGGCGGCCUGCUAAGUCUGGAGCGAAAGGUACCGGCUCAACCGGUACAGGCUCUGGAAACUG